GACAGGGUUACUCUGAGUGAUUUCCGUUAAGGAGAUCUUUUGGCACCUCUAAAAAUGGUGCAGAAUAAGGGGUGGGCAAGUCUGGUGUCAGCCGCCGCGGUAAUACCAGCACCCCGAGUGGUCGGGACGUUUAUUGGGCCUAAAGCAUCCGUAGCCGGUUCUACAAGUCUUCCGUUAAAUCCACCUGCUUAACAGAUGGGCUGCGGAAGAUACUAUAGAGCUAGGAGGCGGGAGAGGCAAGCGGUACUCGAUGGGUAGGGGUAAAAUCCGUUGAUCCAUUGAAGACCACCAGUGGCGAAGGCGGCUUGCCAGAACGCGCUCGACGGUGAGGGAUGAAAGCUGGGGGAGCAAACCGGAUUAGAUACCCGGGUAGUCCCAGCUGUAAACGAUGCAGACUCGGUGAUGAGUUGGCUUAUUGCUAACUCAGUGCCGCAGGGAAGCCGUUAAGUUUGCCGCCUGGGGAGUACGGUCGCAAGACUGAAACUUAAAGGAAUUGGCGGGGGAGCACCACAAGGGGUGAAGCCUGCGGUUCAAUUGGAAUCAACGCCGGAAAUCUUACCGGGGGCGACAGCAGAGUGAAGGUCAAGCUGAAGACUUUACCAGACAAGCUGAGAGGAGGUGCAUGGCCGUCGCCAGCUCGUGCCGUGAGGUGUCCUGUUAAGUCAGGUAACGAGCGAGAUCCCUGCCUCUAGUUGCUACCAUUAUUCUCAGGAGUAGUGGAGCUAAUUAGAGGGACCGCCGUCGCUGAGACGGAGGAAGGUGGGGGCUACGGCAGGUCAGUAUGCCCCGAAACCCUCGGGCCACACGCGGGCUGCAAUGGUAAGGACAAUGAGUUUCGAUUCCGAAAGGAGGAGGCAAUCUCUAAACCUUACCACAGUUAUGAUUGAGGGCUGAAACUCGCCCUCAUGAAUAUGGAAUCCCUAGUAAC
rnacentral:rRNA from 1 species